GUGUAUGUUGUAUAAUCCUCAUAAACUACAUUGAAUUAGGAGUACCCAUUGUUCGGUGAAUUCUUAGUCAUUUUUAUUUCUGGUCGGCGGAUGCCUCUCUGGAAAUUUUGCUCCCUUGGAAAAGAAAACGGUUUCAUACCCUUUUCCGUACUGUUAGGUCCCUCAACCUCAAUAGUUCAACAGGCUGUUUUACGAAUUUUAUAUUUCACUUCACAGUUCAGACCCCUGGACGCUGGUCUAUUGUUUUGGUUUUGUUAACAGAAUAGCCUAAUGGAAGUCCAAUAACCAAGGUCAUCAGUGAAGCCCAAUAGUAUUAGAUCCGCGUCUUCAGAAGAUGCUAUAACAUAUUAGGAUAACGAUACCUAAGAUAUUGUGUAUUGUGCACUUGCUGAAUAUUUUUGUUAGAUCUGUUUAUCAUCACGUGAACCAAGAGCCAAACCAUAGCACCUCAUGAGAAGGUAAAGCCAAAAAACAAGGAUUAGUCUGAGGUUGAAGCAAGGAAUUACUGUGACAUGGAUGCAACCAUUGUUUUAAUGCUCAUAGAAGCUGUAUUGAUUUUGCUGGCAAUAGCAAUUUCUAAAGCUAUCAGAUUAAUCUCUCCACUUCAUGCUACCCAUCCUAUUUCUGUUGAUGAUAGUGGUAAGGAUGUUGUUGAUGAUCCGAUUCCCACAGUUUCUUCUCCUUCUCAUAUCAUUGAUGCUCCUCUUGCAACCAAGUAUGACGUCUUUCUUAACUUUAGAGGGGAAGACACGCAUGACAACUUCACAAGUUAUCUCUAUGAAGCACUUUGCGAUGCAAACAUUGAUACUUUUAUGGAUCACAAGCUCCACAAAGGAGAUAACAUCUCACCGAUUCUUCUGGAAACAAUAGAGGAAUCAGAGAUAUCUUUGAUUAUUUUCUCCAAAGAUUAUGCCUCUUCAACAUGGUGUAUGGAUGAACUUGUUCAUAUUAUGAAAUGUCGGGAUAAAUACAAAAGGGAUGUCAUACCUAUUUUCUACUACCACGUUGAUCCAUCAAAUAUUCGCAAACAAGAAGGGAGUUUUGGAGAUGGAUUUGCUAAGCUUAAGCAAAGAUUUAAGCACAACGAAAAAAGUGCAGGAGUGGAAAAAAGCUUUGAACCAAUCAACAAAUCUCUCUGGAUGGGAUUCAAAGAAUUUCAGGUAGCAGCUUCUACUCAUUCAUCACUUAUAUUUUCUUUCUUUGGGCAUUAAACAUGAUCAUUCUUUUAAUUUAUAUUGAUGCUAGGACUGAACCCAAACUCAUCAAAAAGAUUGUGAAAGAUAUUCUGAGCAAAUUGAAUAGCAAGCCGUCCUUUCAUCUAGAAGGAUUAGUUGGGAUUAGUCAUCAAAUCCAGAAAAUUGAAGAGCUACUCGAUGAAGCUCGCAUUGUGGGAAUAUGGGGUAUGGGAGGUAUGGGGCAGAGGAAAAGAAGAAUGGGAAAGUUCUUUGGAAAAAAUAGAAGAAACUCCACCCAAUUACAUUAUUGAUGUUCUGAAAUUGAGUUUUGAUGGACUUGAUAGGGACCAGAAGAAUAUGUUUCUUGACAUAGCAUUUUUCAUCAAGGAAAAAGUUGAUGUUUCUUUGGACCUAAUAGGACAAUUAUAUGGCUCUUCUGUAGAUAUUGACGUAAAUGUUCU